AUUUAAGUAGUUUAAUUGAAAAAAUAUUAAUUUGUGGGGUUAAAGUUAUAAAAUAGUUUAUCUUAAAUA
rnacentral:tRNA from 1 species